rnacentral:rRNA from 1 species
AGUUCGGAUUGCAGGCUGCAACUCGCCUGCAUGAAGCCGGAAUCGCUAGUAAUCGCGGAUCAGCACGCCGCGGUGAAUACGUUCCCGGGCCUUGUACACACCGCCCGUCACACCACGAGAGUUUGUAACACCCGAAGUCGGUGAGGUAACCUUUUUGGAGCCAGCCGCCUAAGGUGGGAUAGAUGAUUGGGGUGAAGUCGUAACAAGGUAGCCGUAUCGGAAGGUGCGGCUGGAUCACCUCCUUU